rnacentral:ncRNA from 1 species
AUAAAGUUUAAUUUUGGCUUAGAGGCUUAUUUAAUUUUUUAUUUACAUGCAAAUUUUAGUGGGAAUCUAAAUUGAAUUUUAAUAAUUUAUUUUAGUCUUUUUAUUCGCAGUAUAAGAAUUUAUUAAUUUAAGAAAUUAAGAAUUAUAAAUAAGUUUAAAUAUUAACAAAAUUUGUGCCAGCAGUUGCGGUUAUACAAAAAAUAUGAAUAAGUUUUAUUGAUUUGUAAUUAAAUGAUUUUUUUUUAGAUAAAUAUUAGGUUUAUAAGGUGAAAUUUUAAAUUUAAAAUAGUUAGAUAAAAGUUAUUAAUAUUAUGAAAUUUGAAGUUUAAACUAGGAUUAGAUACCCUAUUAUUUUAAAUGUAAAUUAAGAAUCAAAGUAGUAGUAGUUAAGAUCUUAAAAUUUAAAGAUUUUGGCGGUAUUUUAGUCUAUUCAGAGGAACCUGUUCUGUAAUUGAUAGUCCACAAUAAAUUAUACUUAGUUUUUAAAUUUGUAUAUCGUCGUUAUUAAAUAUUUUAGAAGAAUAUAAAUGUUUAAGAUUUUAGAUUAAGUAGCAUAUCAGAUCAAGGUGCAGUUUAUUAUUAAGAAGAAAUGGGUUACAAUAAAUUUAUUUAUUAUGGAUUUGUAAAUGAAAAUUUGCAAUGAAGGAGGAUUUGAUAGUAAUGAAAUUAAAAUUAAUUUUAUGAUUUAAGCUCUAAAAUGUGUACAUAUCGCCCGUCGCUUUUAUCUUAAGAUAAAAUAAGUCGUAACAAAGUAAAUGUACUGGAAAGUGUAUUUAGAAUGAU